rnacentral:rRNA from 1 species
CGGGUGCACUGAUCCAGCCGGGCCUUUCCCUCUGUGGAACCCCAUGGCCUUCACUGGCUGUGGUGGGGAAACAGGACUUUUACUUUGAAAAAAUUAGAGUGCUCCAGGCAGGCCUAUGCUCGAAUACAUUAGCAUGGAAUAAUAGAAUAGGACGUGUGGUUCUAUUUUGUUGGUUUCUAGGACCGCCGUAAUGAUUAAUAGGGACAGUCGGGGGCAUCAGUAUUCAAUUGUCAGAGGUGAAAUUCUUGGAUCUAUUGAAGACUAACUACUGCGAAAGCAUUUGCCAAGGAUGUUUUCAUUGAUAAGGAACGAAAGUUAGGGGAUCGAAGACGAUCAGAUACCGUCGUAGUCUUAACUAUAAACUAUGCCGACUAGGGGUCGGACGAUGUUAUUCUUUGACGCGUUCGGCACCUUUCGAGAAAUCAAAGUGCUUGGGCUCCAGGGGGAGUAUGGUCGCAAGGCUGAAACUUAAAGAAAUUGACGGAAGGGCACCACCAGGGGUGGAACCUGCGGCUUAAUUUGACUCAACACGGGGAAACUCACCAGGUCCAGACACAGUGAGGAUUGACAGAUUGAGAGCUCUUUCUUGAUUCUGUGGGUGGUGGUGCAUGGCCGUUCUUAGUUGGUGGAGUGAUUUGUCUGCUUAAUUGCGAUAACGAACGAGACCUUAACCUGCUAAAUAGCCCGUACUGCUUUGGCAGUUCGCCGGCUUCUUAGAGGGACUAUCGG